GUAAAAAUCUGUAGUUAAUAUUUUGCAUUGAACAUGUAGAUCGCCAUAUUAACAUAGAUUAGUUCUCCAAAUAAUAUUUAUUAGGACUGGUGGUCUAGAUAUGUUCAUAACAGAGAGAGAGCAUAAAGUCUUAAUUCACAACUUGAUUUCAAACAAUGUGGAUUUUUCAGGAACCGUUACAUGAAAGAAAUUAUUGAAGAGCUUAUGAAGAAUGGUCGCUUUUGCCUAUACAUUCACAUGAUAUUGAUGAAGUUCGUGUUGAGUGGGUGAAUCUCAUUCUUAGUCACAUAUAAAAAGUAGAGGAUAUGCUGGAAAUGAAGCAAAAACAGGAGACUUUUGCUGAAUUUUCCAUGAAGAUUCUUCAACAAUAGACUACUAGAUAUUGUUUUGAAAAAAAAUAUUGUACUCUUUGUUUUGUAUAUUUAAUCUCUUGUCGUUGUUAGCUUCAUUUCAGUGUACAUUAACAGAAUAUGAAAUAUUGUGAAAUUAUAUAUGACAAUUAUAAUUUUUUAGUGUAUCAAUAUUUGUAUUUCAUUUUUUGUUAAUUUUAAAUAAAA